rnacentral:lncRNA from 1 species
AGGGAAGGGAUCAGGGAAAGGAUCAGGGAAGGGAUCCGGAAAGGAUCCGGGAAAGGACCGGGGAAGGGAUCAGGGAAAGGAUGAGGGAAAGGAUGCGGGAAAAGGUCAGGGAAGGGAUCGGGGCAGGGAUACGGAAAAGAAACGGAUCAGGGAUGCGAGCAGGGAUUUGGGGCUGUCCCGCAUCCAUCCCUGGAGCCCUCGGGGGGACAGGGAUAACCCCAGUUCCAGAGCCCUGGGGGUACCGGGAUAACCCCAGUUCCAGAGCCCUGGGGGGACCGGGAUAACCCCAAUUCCCGAGCCCUGGGGGGACCGGGAUAACCCCAGUUCCAGAGCCCUGGGGGGACCGGGAUAACCCCAGUUCCAGAGCCCUGGGGGGACCGGGAUAACCCCAAUUCCAGAGCCCUGGGGGUACCGGGAUAACCCCAAUUCCAGAGCCCUGGGGGUACCGGGAUAACCCCAAUUCCAGAGCCCUGGGGGGACCGGGAUGUGGCUCCAUCCAGCGGAGCCCAAUCCCCCGGGAGCGGCGGGGGGAGGACGCUCCCGUUAUCCGGCUCCUGCCGCACCAGCCGUGCAUUACCAGAUUAUCCCGAGCGUUUGGGAUCUCCGGGAGCCAGGGAAGCGCUCGCGGGAGGAGCACAAGGCUGCAGUCGCGGCCCCAUUUCUCUGCUGCCGGCAUUCCCAAGCCAGCCCAACGGAGCCCUCGGAGAGCGCGAUGGACGAGUGGGAUCUCCCACAAUGGAAAAAAGAGGUGGAAAGCCUCAAGUACCAGCUGGCCUACAAGAGGGAGAUGUCCUCCAAGACCAUACCUGAGUGAGUGGGGGCUUCCCUUCCCCUUCCCCUUCCCCGGGGUUCCCAGAUGAGAUUUUUCCCUUUCAGGAUCUCCAAGCCCCAUGGGUAGAACCCCCUCGGUGUCCCCCAGCCCUUUCCAGCUGCCCAGGCUCUGCUGCUCCUGGGCUGUGGUGGCACCACGGCACCUCCUGGCCCCUGGGAGCCCCCCAGGGUGCAGAUCCCCCCCUUUUCCAGAGCUUUCCAGAGCUCAAAAGACUGGAAAUUACGGAUGGUUCUGUUCCCUCCCUGCUUUGUGGCAGAGCUGGGGACACCCCCAUGUCCCCCCAGUGGAUCAGGGGCAUCCCAGGAUCCCCUGGAUUUACCCCAGACCCCCCAAAAUCCCCAAUUUUGCUGGCCUGGGGCUGUG